rfam:Bombyx mori DNA, contig: Bm_scaf8_contig6733, strain: p50T/Dazao, build 2, whole genome shotgun sequence.
UUAGCUCAUAUUUGUAUGAAAUGGGAUCGUUUGCCUACGUUUGCCGCUAGGGGCGCUGUUCCAACUGCAUACAAAGUUGAGUUA